rnacentral:rRNA from 1 species
GGAUUGACACGUCGGUCGUGCCUUAAGGGGUAUGAACUGGUGUAGUCAAUUUCUCACCUUCUGGAGAACCGCGAUGCCCUUAAUUGGGUGUCACGGGGAACCAGGACCUUUACUUUGAAAAAAUUAGAGUGUUUAAAAGCAGGCAUUUUGCUUGAAUUACAUUAGCAUGGAAUAAUAAAAUAGGACGGCAUGAUUCAUUUUGUGGUUUCUAGGAUCACCGUAAUGAUUAAUAGGGAUAGUUGGG